rfam:beta proteobacterium KB13 scf_1106380163076 genomic scaffold, whole genome shotgun sequence.
GGCGGGUCACCUCGCAUUGUAAGUUAGCCAACCUGGUCAGGUGCGGAAGCAAGCAGCCACAACUAAUGAAACAAGUGCCGAGACCAUGGCUCGCCUUA